UAACUUCCUUCCUGUUUUUUGGCGGAUGUAUCACUGUGACUGAUACAACUGGUACUUCUGUUUUAGGCUAUAAUGGCGGUGUUAAAUCUUCUUAUUUUCCUUGUGGCUUUCAUUCAUUCACUGAUCUACAACGCAGCAUGCAUUGAUAAAAUCCAGCCCACAACUGUCCAGGAAGGAUGUUCUGUAACACUGAAUAUAAGCAAACUACCAGACUUUGAUGAUUUAGUAUGGACUAAAGAUAAGAACAUUGUUAUAAUAUAUAAUCAUCAAAGUAAGGAAGUAGACAUUCGCAGUUCUUUUAAGGGCAAAGUAGAUUUCAGUGACAGAACCUUCUCUCUAACACUGAAGAGCAUACAGAGAAGUGAAAGUGGAAUCUACAAAGCUACAGCAAGUGGAAAAACUGAUGAAACUAUUGGUCUAUACAAUGUAUCUGUUGUUGAUACUAAAAGCCACGGAUCAACCAUCAGAUCCAUUUCUCUCACUUGGAUCAUAUUCCUCCUUCUUUUGUAUUGAUUUAAAUAGCUAAUUACAUAAAAAUUGUGUACUUUUACUCUUUUGAGUAAAAGUACGAAAGUACUUUUUACUUAAGUAAAGUAAAAAAAAAUACUAGAUGUUUAAUGUACUAAAAUAUUAAAUAUAAACCAAAAACUUGAAAUUAUGAAAUUUAGUGGAGUAAAAAUUACACUGUAAAAAACAUAUUGUGAAAUUCACAGUAAUUAACUGGCAGCAAUUGACAAGUAAAUUACUUUAGAAAAAGCACAGUAAGUUACUUGUCAAUUGCUGCCAGUUAACUACUGUGUUUUUUUCCUAUAGUAAGUUACUUGUCAAUUGCUGCCAGUUAAAUACUGUGAUUUUGCCGUACUGUAAGUUACUUGUCAAUUGCUGCCAGUUAACUACUGUGAUUUUUCCGUACAGUAAGUUACUUGUCAAUGGCUGCCAGUUAAAUACUGUGAUUUCUUUUCCACAGUAAGUUACUUGUCAAUGGCUGCCAGUUAACUACUGUGAUUUCUUUUCUACAGUAAAUUACUAUUGUCAAUGGCUGCCAGGUAACUACUGUGAUUUUUUUCCACAGUAAUUUACUGGCAGUCAUUGACAAGUAACUAAGCAGAGAUUAUAUGUUUUUAAUAUAUAGUUCAUUGUGGUUUUCCCUACAGCAUUUGAUUGGUUAGUUAUUUUCUGUAAACAUUCAUCAAUGUUAAAAUAAAGUUGUAAUGACCAGCCUUAAAGGUUGAGUUACAAUUAUUUAAAAACUCAAGACUGUUAAAAGAAGGAAAUACAAAAAACAAAUCUAAAACAAUAUAAAAGUCCAAGCGUGUUAAAAGUCCAAAUGUGCAAAGUUUCCACCGUGUAUAUAAAAUCCAAGAAAGUGAUAUCCAAAGUCCAUAAAACGUAACUGGACAGGUAAGCCCAAAUACACAAACUCCACACACCAGCAACCGCUUGUUUUAGCUAUAGCGUCAGCUAACCAUGUGCUCCUGCUCCUUCCUUUUAUACAAAGUUCCAUGUCAUGUGACCCCUCACAUGACAGGCAGACGAAGCAAAAUAAAAGACAUACACACAUAAAAUAGCAAAAGGAUAAAAUGGCUAAGAAAACAUGUAAAACUAAUUUAAACUCAAAUAUACAUAAGUCACAAUAUAAUGAGUGGUAAAACAUGUAUCUUGUGUGAUCAUGUCACAACGUUAAUGAUCUAAUUUAAAUAUGC